rnacentral:rRNA from 1 species
AUUGAACGCUGGCGGCAGGCCUAACACAUGCAAGUCGAACGGUAGCACAGAGAGCUUGCUCUCGGGUGACGAGUGGCGGACGGGUGAGUAAUGUCUGGGAAACUGCCUGAUGGAGGGGAAUAACUACUGGAAACGGUAGCUAAUACCGCAUAACGUCGCAAGACCAAAGAGGGGGACCUUCGGGCCUCGUGCCAUCAGAUGUGCCCAGAUGGGAUUAGCUUGUAGGCGGGGUAAUGGCCCACCUAGGCGACGAUCCCUAGCUGGUCUGAGAGGAUGACCAGCCACACUGGAACUGAGACACGGUCCAGACUCCUACGGGAGGCAGCAGUGGGGAAUAUUGCACAAUGGGCGCAAGCCUGAUGCAGCCAUGCCGCGUGUGUGAAGAAGGCCUUCGGGUUGUAAAGCACUUUCAGCGGGGAGGAAGGCGGUACGGUUAAUAACCGUGCCGAUUGACGUUACCCGCAGAAGAAGCACCGGCUAACUCCGUGCCAGCCGCCGCCGUAA